GUGAUCUUCCUGAUGGAUUUAACCUCUACAGGGACCGUUACUACAAACUCCAUCAUGACGCAAAACCUUUGCUUGAAGCUAAAAGAAGUUGCAAUGUGGUUGGCAGUCAAGUUGCAGAGUUCAGGACUGCGAACCAAUUGGACGAUCUCUUAUCUUUUUUGGAAGUAAAAUCCAUUCAAUCUGUGUGGGCUUCAUUCUACCGGUUCAAAAGUGGAUGCACCGAAGAAGAAUGCAAUGGGAAUUUGCAUUGGCUUGUCCAACCCUAUGAAAUGCAAUUACUAAACGAAAGCCUCGACAUCGGAGAUUUGGAUUUGAGUGAAGAGAGAUGUGCUGUUCUAAGUAAAGAUGGAAAGCUGACCAAGAAAAAAUGUAAAGAAUUCGCCUCUUUUUUGUGCGAGUUCUCUUGUUCAGAUUGGUAUGGUAUGUGAGAAUCAAAGUUUUUGAACGAUGGUUUGACUAUGUAAUAAUUCAAUGUACAUUAUCCUUAAAGUCCCUGAAGAAUGUGCAAAUAACAAUACUCUACCUAUUUACGAAACUUUUGGGCGGCAUAUAUAUGCUGACCAACAUAAAAUGUUGCCUUUUGAUCAAGCAAUGGAAUUUUGCCGGAACAUUGGUGGGUCAUUAUUGGAACCUAAAAACUUUGAUGACUAUCAAUCCGCAUCGUUCAUGGCCACACUAUUUUCUGGGUUUGUCGGCUUGGUCAAUCCGCGAUCUUCGAAUAAAGAUGAAAUGGUGUAUUUGUCGGAUGGGUCGAAAGUCAAUGUCAAUAACUUGAGGCUGAUCACCAAUGGCUAUGAAAUGAAACAUCUGGAUAGGCCAGCUUUCCAACUGACUCAAGAUGGAAACUUAGAUGGAACGAAGAUUAAUGGAGUGCAAAAUAGGUUUUUUUGUGAAAUCGAUUGCUCGCAGGCCGGUACGCAACAUUGUGCAAAAUGAC